AAAAUCUGCUGUCGAGAUUAGGGGCUGAGAGCGGAAACUUAGAAGUUGCAUGUACGACGUCUGCCGGUGUUCAUCUCAUGAUUAUGUCAACAUUGCAGACCUUCAGCAGACCUUCAUAUCUUUUCUGCAUAUAAUAUCAAAGUUGAUUGAUGAAGUCUAAGAAACUCCAUAAAAAGGAUCAGAUGUUGAUUACAUCAUCAUCGGACUAUGCACAGUGUCAGAAGAAACAGAAUAAUGUGCAGCAGAAAUCCAGUCCUGACUGUGGAACAUCUACAUCAGGAUUAGCCAAAAUGUCUGGCCUAAACACAAACAAGCAGCCGAAUUUCUCCUCUGCUGCUUUUAAAGUUCUUUUUUUCACAUCAGUCAGUCUCUUGCCUAUUAUGCUGAUCCAUCAUGAAGUGGGAGGAGACUGGAUAGCCUUUUUCAAAACGGAAUGGUUGGUGAAGGGAAUAAAAAAAUUUGUGGAACCCCUAGAGUUCACCAAACACCUGGCAUGGCACAACAAGGAGCUUGUAAAGCACUUAGAGUGGCAUGACAAUGUGCAGCAUGUUGUGGUUUUUGAUGCAGGUAGCACAGGGACACGUUUGCAUGUCUACCUUUUCACACCCACGAAGGAUGGAGGAGGUGGUGUAGAAAUGGUCAGCGAAGUGUUUCAGAAGAUAUCACCAGGAAUAUCGAACUAUGCACAUAACCCAGGAGCUGUGGCAGUACAACUGCAGAGUUUGGUGGAUGUGGCAAUGGAAGUUGUGCCAGGAGAUCUGCAUGUGGUCACUCCCUUAAUAUUUAAAGCAACAGCAGGAUUACGACUUCUGGCACCUGAAACACAAAACAGCCUUUUGAAGUCUGUACGAGAGCUGCUCAUCUCCUCUACCAACUUUGUCUUCAGUCCUUUAGAUGUAAAUGUCAUGAAUGGUGUGGAUGAAGGCUUGUUUGGAUGGAUCACAAUCAACUUCUUGCUUGGAAACUUACAGCAGAAUAAGAAGACUGUAGCGGCCAUUGAUUGUGGUGGAGGAUCAGUACAAGUCACUUACAGAGUUCAGCCAGGGGAUUUUUCAUCUUUGAAAGAUGUGGAACAGGUUCAGAUCUUUGAUCUUGACUACAGCCUUUACACUCACAGUUACCUUGGUCAAGGUCUGAAGUCUGCUCGCAUUGCAGUGCUGCAUGCUGUGCCAGAUGGAAGCCUCCUCAGCUAUUGUCUGCCAACAGGCUAUGUAGGCAAGCUGGUCUAUGAUGAUGAAACAGAGUUCACUGUGAGCAGACUCUGCACCAGUUUUCUUCAGACAGUCUUCUUUGCAGAGGGCCAAAUGCCAGUGUUCCAGAAGGCUGUUGGGAACAAGUUGGUGACUUUGUUAAGCGGAGUGGUUUUUCCCCACAGCCAUCUUUGAUGAAAGAAGAUAUCUAUCUUUUUGCCUUCUUCUUUGAUGUGGCACGGGAUGCAGGCUUAAUAGGACAAGAUCAACAUGAAGUCAUACUGACAUCUCAAGACUACCUUGAUGCAAGUAUAAGAGUGUGUGGAGCCCCAGAACAGAGCAACCCAUUUUUAUGUCAGGAUUUAACCUACAUCGCUCUAAUGCUGCACGAAGGUCUGAA
rnacentral:misc_RNA from 1 species